rnacentral:rRNA from 1 species
UUGGAGGGCAAGUCUGGUGCCAGCAGCCGCGGUAAUUCCAGCUCCAAUAGCGUAUAUUAAAGUUGUUGCAGUUAAAAAGCUCGUAGUUGAAUUUCGGGAUUGACACAUCGGUCGUGCCUUAAGGGGUAUGAACUGGUGUAGUCAAUUUCUCACCUUCUGGAGAACCACGAUGCCCUUAAUUGGGUGUCGCGGGGAACCAGGACCUUUACUUUGAAAAAAUUAGAGUGUUUAAAGCAGGCAUUUUGCUUGAAUACAUUAGCAUGGAAUAAUAAAAUAGGACGGCAUGAUUCUAUUUUGUUGGUUUCUAGGAUCACCGUAAUGAUUAAUAGGGAUAGUUGGGGGCAUCAGUAUUCAAUUGUCAGAGGUGAAAUUCUUGGAUUUAUUGAAGACUAACUACUGCGAAAGCAUUUGCCAAGGAUGUUUUCAUUAAUCAAGAACGAAAGUUAGGGGAUCGAAGACGAUCAGAUACCGUCGUAGUCUUAACCAUAAACUAUGCCGACUAGGAAUCAGACGAUGUUAAUUUUUUAAUGACUCGUUUGGCACCUUACGGGAAACCAAAGUGUUUGGGUUC